CUUGCCUCUUAGAGGCACUGCUGGUGUGGCUGCUGUGCUACACGUGUGUCAGUAGGUGACAGAGAGGAGAGAGGCUCCAUGUCUAAGCUCAGUUUCUGAUCUGUAAAUGUCUUAACGAUUAGUAAUUUAACACU
ensembl:snoRNA